rnacentral:rRNA from 1 species
CAGGGGUAGCUUGCUACCCGCUGACGAGCGGCGGACGGGUGAGUAAUGCAUAGGAAUCUGCCCGAUAGUGGGGGAUAACCUGGGGAAACCCAGGCUAAUACCGCAUACGUCCUACGGGAGAAAGGGGGCUUCGGCUCCCGCUAUCGGAUGAGCCUAUGUCGGAUUAGCUAGUUGGUGAGGUAAAGGCUCACCAAGGCGACGAUCCGUAGCUGGUCUGAGAGGAUGAUCAGCCACAUCGGGACUGAGACACGGCCCGAACUCCUACGGGAGGCAGCAGUGGGGAAUAUUGGACAAUGGGGGGAACCCUGAUCCAGCCAUGCCGCGUGUGUGAAGAAGGCCCUCGGGUUGUAAAGCACUUUCAGUGAGGAAGAACGCCUGGUGGUUAAUACCCAUCAGGAAAGACAUCACUCACAGAAGAAGCACCGGCUAACUCCGUGCCAGCAGCCGCGGUAAUACGGAGGGUGCGAGCGUUAAUCGGAAUUACUGGGCGUAAAGCGCGCGUAGGUGGCUUGAUAAGCCGGUUGUGAAAGCCCCGGGCUCAACCUGGGAACGGCAUCCGGAACUGUCAAGCUAGAGUGCAGGAGAGGAAGGUAGAAUUCCCGGUGUAGCGGUGAAAUGCGUAGAGAUCGGGAGGAAUACCAGUGGCGA